UACGUAGGGCGCAAGCGUUGUCCGGAAUUAUUGGGCGUAAAGAGCUCGUAGGCGGUUUGUCGCGUCUGCUGUGAAAACCUGAGGCUCAACCUCGGGCUUGCAGUGGGUACGGGCAGACUAGAGUGCGGUAGGGGUGACUGGAAUUCCUGGUGUAGCGGUGGAAUGCGCAGAUAUCAGGAGGAACACCGAUGGCGAAGGCAGGUCACUGG
rnacentral:rRNA from 1 species